rnacentral:lncRNA from 1 species
AACAGAUCCGCCGUAUGCAUCAAGAUACACCUUAUGCAUAUGAAGUGUCAGUAAAAUCUGUCUAAAGAAGUUUUCUAAAAUCUAAUAACAACAGUUAUCAGAGUAGAAUAACAAUUAUAUACUACAGCAACACUGUAAAUAUAAAAUCAUCACUCCUCCAAUCUUCAAAAUAUUACAACAUCUUUGACCACUCCAAACCUCAAAAUAUUGUACAGUCUACUAUAUACAAUGAUAGGUGGUCCAGCUAUGCACACAAGAAGGGUAGGAGAUGGUAGCUAUCCGUAAUCCUUUUUUCUCGAUCAGUCGCUAGUGUUGAAGGCUCUGAAAUAAAAAUAAUAAUAAAAAGGGCGUGAGAACCAUAAUCAAUAGUCUAGUGAGUAUGGUUAACAAUGUCGAUGGUCUAUAAGAGGUAGAAAUAGUAAAUAACUGAGCAGUAUGAUAGAAUAGCUAAUAAUACGAAUAAUUGCUGAAAAUACCUACUGCUAUCAUAUCUCUAUAAUACAACUGAAAAUUGUAAAUCAUAUAUCUCACACAUCAACUAAAUAGUGAACAAAAUAAUGUAAUAAUAUCCAAUCAUAAUGACUAACUCAGUAGUUAGAUCUCACCUGCGCCGCCUCAUGUCCAGCACCUAUCAAUAGUGGUCCGCUACCACGCAGGCUACUGUCUGGCCCAUGCCAUAAUAGUAUAUCAUAAUCUA